rnacentral:rRNA from 1 species
GACGAACGCUGGCGGCGUGCUUAACACAUGCCAGUCGAACGAUGAAGAAAAGAAUCGAAGCUUCGGCAGAAAUUCAUUUCGGAUUAGUGGCAGACGGGUGAGUAACGCGUGAGCAACCUACCUCUUACAAAGGGAUAGCCUCGGGAAACCGGGAUUAAUACCAUAUAACAUUGCGACGAAGCAUUUCGAUGCAAUCAAAGCUACGGCGGUAAGAGAUGGGCUCGCGUCCCAUUAACCGGAUGGUGAGGUAACGGCUCACCAUAGUGACGAUGGGUAACCGGCCUGAGAGGGUGAACGGUCACACUGGAACUGAGACACGGUCCAGACUCCUACGGGAGGCAGCAGUGGGGAAUAUUGCACAAUGGAGGGAACUCUGAUGCAGCGACGCCGCGUGAGUGAUGAAGGAAUUCGUCUCGUAAAACUCUGUUCUAUGGGAAGAAAAGGACUGUACCAUAGGAGAAAGCUCCGGCUAAAUACGUG